rnacentral:misc_RNA from 1 species
AAAAAAAAAUCAGUACAAAUAAAGGCUUAAUGAUAAAAGACUCUGUUUGGAUAGUUAUGCAUUUGAAAUUAUUGAAAAUUUGAAUUUGUUUUAAGUGAAAAAAAUAGAAAAUUUCAACAUAAUACUAAAUUCAAAUACCUCAUCAUUUAAAAUUCACACCUAUCCAAAUGGAUCCUAAGGCAAUUUUAAAUAUCAUACAUGAUAACUUUACAUCAUUGCCUUUCAUAAACAUAUAUGUAUAUAUUUGUAUAUCAAACACCAUAAACUGAAUUAUUCUACCCUAUAUACGAAGAACGCUCUUGGU